UGAAUACGAGAUGCUACGGCGUCGAAGCAGUGUAUGUCAGACUUCCAAGAAAAGCUCGCAAUGUCAUAAAUAAAGAAUGCCUGUACCAUAACCGACACAGGUGGGUAGGUAGAGUAUACUAAGGGGCGCGAGAUAACUCUCUCUAAGGAACUCGGCAAAAUAACUCCGUAACUUCGGGAGAAGGAGUGCCUUCUUUAAGAAGGUUGCAAUAACAAGAUCCAAGCAACUGUUUAUCAAAAACACAGGUCUCCGCUAAGUCGUAAGACGAUGUAUGGGGGCUGACGCCUGCCCAGUGCCAGAAGGUUAAAGAAGUUGGUUAGCUUUUGCGAAGCUGAUGACUGAAGCCCUGGUGAACGGCGGCCGUAACGAUAACGGUCCUAAGGUAGCGAAAUUCCUUGUCGGGUAAGUUCCGACCCGCACGAAAGGCGUAAUGAUUUGGAUACUGUCUCGGAGAGGGACUCGGUGAAAUAGACUUGUCUGUGAAGAUGCGGACUACCUGCACCAGGACAGGAAGACCCUAUGAAGCUUUACUGUAACUUGAAAUUGAAAUUGGACUUUAUUUGCGCAGUAUAGGUGGAAGGCGUUGAAAGUAAUCUUGCGGGAUUAGUGGAGCCAUCAGUGAGAUACCACUCCUAUAAUGUUAGAUUUCUAACUUUGGAUCAUGAUCUGGUCAAAGAACAGUUUCAGGCGGGCAGUUUGACUGGGGCGGUCGCCUCCCAAAUGGUAACGGAGGCGUACAAAGGUUUCCUCUGAACGGGUAGAAAUCGUAUCUAGAGUGUAAAGGCAUAAGGAAGCUUGACUGUGAGACCUACAAGUCGAGCAGGGACGAAAGUCGGUCUUAGUGAUCUGACGGUGCUGAGUGGAAAGGCCGUCACUCAACGGAUAAAAGUUACUCUAGGAUAACAGGCUGAUCUCCCCCAAGAGUUCACAUCGACGGGGAGGUUUGGCACCUCGAUGUCGGCUCAUCGCAUCCUGGGGCGGUAGUACGUCCCAAGGGUUGGGCUGUUCGCCCAUGAAAGCGGUACGCGAGCUGGGUUCAGAACGUCGUGAGACAGUUCGGUCCAUAUCCGGUGUAGGCGUUAGAGUAUUGAGAGGAGCCUUCUUUAGUACGAGAGGACCGAGAAGGACAUACCUCUGGUGUACCAGUUAUCGUGCCAACGGUAAACGCUGGGUAGCUAUGUAUGGAGAGGAUAACCGCUGAAAGCAUCUAAGUGGGAAGCCCACCUCAAGAUGAGUAUUCUCAG
rnacentral:rRNA from 1 species